rnacentral:rRNA from 1 species
AGCGAACGCUGGCGGCAUGCCUAACACAUGCAAGUCGCACGGGGGGGCUUCGGCCUCCCAGUGGCGGACGGGUGAGGAACGCGUAGGGACCUGUCGAGGGGUGGGGGAUAACCGCGGGAAACUGCGGCUAAUACCGCAUGACGCCGCGGCGUGACAGCCGGGGCCAAAGGCGAAAGCCGCCCGCCGAGGGGCCUGCGUCCGAUUAGCUGGUUGGCGGGGUAGCGGCCCACCAAGGCGUCGAUCGGUAGCUGGUCUGAGAGGGUGAUCAGCCACACCGGGACUGAGACACGGCCCGGACUCCUACGGGAGGCAGCAGUGGGGAAUAUUGGACAAUGGGCGCAAGCCUGAUCCAGCAAUGCCGCGUGGGUGAAGAAGGUCUUCGGAUUGUAAAGCCCUGUCGGCGGGGACGAUGGUGACGGUACCCGCAGAAGAAGCCCCGGCUAACUUCGUG